rnacentral:lncRNA from 1 species
UUUUGUAAUAUCAGUCAUUGAUUAAGCUAUAGCAAAAUACAUUACAGCUCCGCCUCCACUCCCUUCAAGUCAACUGUAAAAAGUAAAUGUGUUCUAUUAGCAGUUUCAGUUUAACAUCUAUAGGUUGAAGAUAGCUCUCCAUAGCAAGGCCAAAAUAUUUCAGGAAUUUAAUUUUUUUUUUACACAUCAUGAAAUGGAAAACUUAGACUGUUUGCAGCACCAUCUGACGCCAAUGCCUAAGGCUGUCGCCCAACCUGUCACCGCCAGCGCCCGAACCAACUGUAGUAGCUAAAACCGCCAUCCCUGUUUUGACGUUUUUGCAACCCUUUGCUCUGUUUUAUCCUUAGUUUUGAUGUAAAUUGAAUGUAGCAGAUUAUAUGCGCUUUCGAAUAGUGUUAAUAUGAAUUGCAUUUCAUAAAGAUCAAAUUUGUUUAUGACGUGGUAAUGCUAAACCAAAACAUUUCUUUACACAAAAAAUACACUUCAGACCAAAAUAUUGGUAUGAAAAAAAAAUUAUUUGGUAUAGAUAUCAUAACAGACUGCUAAUAAUAACUCAGAACUUAAUUAUUUAAAAAAUAGUUUCACAACAAAUAUUUAAAGUUAUUUUGGAGAAAAAAUAUUUUUAGGCUAAUUAUUUUUGUAAAAAAUUAAAUAUAACAAGAAUUACCUUUACAAUAGGAAAUAGGAUUGUGAAUACUUACAUAGUAUUAAAAUGGGAGCAAUUUACUCACUACCAUAAAUCUAUAUUAUAGUUUUCCUUCAGUAAGGAAAAUCUGUAUCAAAAAAUUAUUGAGAUAGAUAUAUAAAAGAGGAUGUUUGUAUAUAUGAUAUUGAUAGACUCAUAAACUAUCUGACCAUUCAUUAUGAAAAUUUGUAUGUAUAUGUAUUUUUUUCACAGAGAAGGUUUAUAUGCUAUGCCGAUUGAUGUAACCUCACCCCCAGAUGGUGUUGCAAAAGAAAAAAGUUUUCACAGUGUCUACACUUUAUAAACUGCAAUCGCGAGACAAUUACACAUAUUAAAUUGCCAAACACUAUUUGAAGCCGCUAAGUUAUCAUGUAUGUUUGUCUUUAUAAUAAAUUUUUGGUUGAACUUAAAGCUUAAGAAAUAAACCACUUUAUAAUAAAGUAGAUGUACGUGUACAAUGGCUAUAAACAUACACUUUUGACAGAUUUUCUUGAUCAUGGCAAAACGGCAAACUCUACAUCAGCGUUGGAAAUAUAAUUCACUUGAACAGGUGGUAAUACACGGGCAAAUCUUAUGAAAAGAAAAGCCUCGGGAAACAGUUAGUAUCUAAUCACGUUAUUUCUAAAAUGUGUGUUUAGGAAGACACAAGUGGACACUUUUAUUCGGACGUUGGUUUCCAAAAGGUUAACCUAAAAUGUCUGGGUUUGAAUUGUCUUUGACAGUUAAAUAUAUGUUAUUGAUAUUCAAUAACAUUUUCUUUUUUAAUUUUUUUGACUAAACAUAUUUUUGUAUAUUAAAAUUAAUUAAAUGUGGAAGAAUAAAAAAUGUCUUAUGCAUUAAAAUAUUUGUGUAAACUUUAAAUUUUAUAUUCUAUAAUUGCUUCACAUAAAUAAUUCUCUUUUUAUUUUACUGGUGUUGUUAAAUAUCACAAUAUUUGUGUUUUAGAGAUUGUGGGUGAUAAAUUAGUCAUAUUAGAGUCUCUGCCUCCCAAAUGGAAGCAAUGUCGGCGAGAACUAGGUCACUCUGUUCCUAUCUAUUAUUUGUUACUGCCUAUACAUACGUACUUAUUAUAAAUAUAAAAAGUUAAAGUCGACAUAUAAGUGCACAUGCUAACUGAAUACAAUAGGUAAAAAAAUUAAAUUUGAAAUUUCAAAAAUAUUGUUGGUCAUUAACGCGUAAAUGUAAAAAUCUUUAUUAUAACUUGUAAAUAACAUAAAAAAUUGGUCUCUUUUAGAUAUGUAACGGUGCUACAGUUAUACUAAGACAUUGUCUCAUCAGUGGUUAAGAGAUUCAGAUUAAAAAUAAACACCCUAGUAGACUCCACCACAGCCUUGUUGAUCUAAUAAUAAUUUUUUCACCUAUUCAAAGGCCUGCCUUGAUGAACCCCUAACAGAACUCAACAAUCUAGAUCUAGGUAUUGAGACAGAGCUUGCCAUAAUGUUUAUCUCAAUAUGUAGCACGUAGCAUCUCACAGCAUGCAUUCUAUACUGCAAGUACUUCUUCAUCGCCCGCAUGUGAUUUGAUAACAAAUAGUUUGUUGCCUCUGUUACAGAGUCUCUCUUUAAUGCCAAAAAACUGCUUUUGUAUCACAGCCUGACCUGCAUCAGAUAAAACUGCGGUUCUGCAACAACUUCAAGCCAUGUGAAGCAUCCUGGUACUGGACAAAGUAAUGUUGCCUUUCAGUACCAGGUAUGCUUCAAGUGUACAUAGAGAGCUAUCAAACCCACACUUGUAACUUUAAUUUUAACACUUCAUGCAAAAAAAGCAAUAUGCUGUUGUUGUAUAGGUUUUGUAACAGAUAAUAGCUAAAACGUCACCUCUGUCAUGUCUUUGGAAUUUCAAAAUAAAGUUCAACAGCUACACAACCAGAGUUUGAUGACUGAAUAAGUGAUUACUGCAAAACUUAGCAGGUCUUUAUUUCAAAUUUCCUAUCAGAAUGUUUGGUGAAGAAUAUUGAGAUGAAGAUUGGACUGCAGCUUUCAAAAUUCAAAGUCAACAGGCCGUUGUUAUAUUCCUCUUCAACAAGUGGUUUGAUGGACUGCAGAUCUUCUAGAUCCGUUCCCAGAAUCUUCUGCAGGUCUCAUUCCACAGUACCAUGUCAGAAUAUCUAGGAUUACGUACAUUGUCUGGGCAACAAAUUGUAUGCUGAAUUUGACCUUUUUUGUGGCAAUUCAUCUUUCCUGAAGCAGCUAUUAAAAUAAUUCUUAAAUUGG